CGACCACAGAACCUCAGGCUGAUAGUUGUUCACUAACUCAUAGAGCUCUGGCAAUGUCUUAGAAACUGGAAAUUGCCGCUUAUGGAAUGAACUGGAUUCAUCCUCAAGGAAGAGCGGAUGAAACCAUUCAAAAAGGGAAUAGUACAGUCCAAAACGCAGAUUUUAAGGUCCUUAAGGGAUUGCAUCAUGUCUGCAGUGCUCCCUGCUAUGUCUCCAGCCAACUGCUAGCACAAGGUUCUGGCUCUGUCACCCAGGCUGGAGUUCAGUGGUGCGAACUUCGCUCACUGCAUCCUCGACCUCCUGGGCUCAAGUGAUGCUCCCACCUCAGCCUACCAAGUAGCUAGGACUACAGCUUGGGAAAGUUCCUAGACAUCAGGAAAUCAGCAUGUUCUCAAGCAAAUACACUUGAUAGACAUUCAUCUCAGCAGGAUAAAUAUCUACAGGAGAAAAUCAUGAAGCUACCAGAAUGUGGCCAAAGGGAAAAAUAUCCUAUGAUCAUUCCAGAUUUUUUGUGUUGGUUCUCCUCUCCU
rnacentral:lncRNA from 1 species